rnacentral:ncRNA from 1 species
UAAAAGACAAUGACAAGGAAUAGUAAAAGUACUCUCCUUUUCACAGAGAGGAGACCAUAUGCUGAAAGGUUUCUAAAGGAAUACUUUGAACCAGCCUUCGAGUCCUGCACUGAAAUAAUAGUAGGCUGCAGCGGAUUUUCCGUUACAAAUUACGAGUGAAUAUAUUAUUAUAUAUUAACUAGGGUGGUACCGCCGAUAAUAAGCUCGGUCCCUUUU